GACGAACGCUGGCGGCGUGGAUUAGGCAUGCAAGUCGGACGGUAGGGCUUUAUCGUAAGAUAGAGUUUGAGAGUGGCGAACGGGUGAGUAACACGUAGGAAUCUACCCUUAAGACGGGGACAACCCAGGGAAACUUGGGCUAAUACCGGAUGAGAGUGCGAGAGAUUGCAUUUAAAAGGAUGGCGAAAGUUGUCGCUUAGGGAUGAGCCUGCGGUCUAUUAGUUAGUUGGUGAGGUAAGAGCUCACCAAGGCGAUGAUAGAUAGGCGGCCUUAACGGGUGGUCGCCCACACUGGGAUUGAGAUACGGCCCAGACUCCUACGGGAGGCAGCAGUCGAGAAUAGUCUACAAUGGUCGGAAGACUGAUAGUGCGACGCCGCGUGAACGAUGAAUCCCUUCGGGGUGUAAAGUUCUUUUAUAUGUGAGCAGUGCUUCUUAUAUUAACAGUAUGGGGAGAGAGAUAUUAGCAUAUGAAUAAGCAACGGCUAACUCCGUG
rnacentral:rRNA from 1 species